rnacentral:rRNA from 1 species
UAAGUUAUUAAGGGCGCACGGUGGAUGCCUUGGCACUAGAAGCCGAUGAAGGACGUUACUAACGACGAUAUGCUUUGGGGAGCUGUAAGUAAGCUUUGAUCCAGAGAUUUCCGAAUGGGGAAACCCAGCAUGAGUUAUGUCAUGUUAUCGAUAUGUGAAUACAUAGCAUAUCAGAAGGCACACCCGGAGAACUGAAACAUCUUAGUACCCGGAGGAAGAGAAAGAAAAUUCGAUUCCCUUAGUAGCGGCGAGCGAAACGGGAAGAGCCCAAACCAACAAGCUUGCUUGUUGGGGUUGUAGGACACUCUAUACGGAGUUACAAAGGACGACAUUAGACGAAUCAUCUGGAAAGAUGAAUCAAAGAAGGUAAUAAUCCUGUAGUCGAAAAUGUUGUCUCUCUUGAGUGGAUCCUGAGUACGACGGAGCACGUGAAAUUCCGUCGGAAUCUGGGAGGACCAUCUCCUAAGGCUAAAUACUCUCUAGUGACCGAUAGUGAACCAGUACCGUGAGGGAAAGGUGAAAAGCACCCCGGAAGGGGAGUGAAAUAGAACCUGAAACCGUGUGCUUACAAGUAGUCAGAGCCCGUUAAUGGGUGAUGGCGUGCCUUUUGUAGAAUGAACCGGCGAGUUACGAUUUGAUGCAAGGUUAAGCAGUAAAUGUGGAGCCGUAGCGAAAGCGAGUCUGAAUAGGGCGUUUAGUAUUUGGUCGUAGACCCGAAACCAGGUGAUCUACCCUUGGUCAGGUUGAAGUUCAGGUAACACAGAAUGGAGGACCGAACCGACUUACGUUGAAAAGUGAGCGGAUGAACUGAGGGUAGCGGAGAAAUUCCAAUCGAACCUGGAGAUAGCUGGUUCUCUCCGAAAUAGCUUUAGGGCUAGCCUCAAGUGAUGAUUAUUGGAGGUAGAGCACUGUUUGGACGAGGGGCCCCUCUCGGGUUACCGAAUUCAGACAAACUCCGAAUGCCAAUUAAUUUAACUUGGGAGUCAGAACAUGGGUGAUAAGGUCCGUGUUCGAAAGGGAAACAGCCCAGACCACCAGCUAAGGUCCCAAAAUAUAUGUUAAGUGGAAAAGGAUGUGGCGUUGCCCAGACAACUAGGAUGUUGGCUUAGAAGCAGCCAUCAUUUAAAGAGUGCGUAAUAGCUCACUAGUCGAGUGACACUGCGCCGAAAAUGUACCGGGGCUAAACAUAUUACCGAAGCUGUGGAUUGUCCUUUGGACAAUGGUAGGAGAGCGUUCUAAGGGCGUUGAAGCAUGAUCGUAAGGACAUGUGGAGCGCUUAGAAGUGAGAAUGCCGGUGUGAGUAGCGAAAGACGGGUGAGAAUCCCGUCCACCGAUUGACUAAGGUUUCCAGAGGAAGGCUCGUCCGCUCUGGGUUAGUCGGGUCCUAAGCUGAGGCCGACAGGCGUAGGCGAUGGAUAACAGGUUGAUAUUCCUGUACCACCUAUAAUCGUUUUAAUCGAUGGGGGGGACGCAGUAGGAUAGGCGAAGCGUGCGAUUGGAUUGCACGUCUAAGCAGUAAGGCUGAGUAUUAGGCAAAUCCGGUACUCAUUAAGGCUGAGCUGUGAUGGGGAGAAGACAUUGUGUCUUCGAGUCGUUGAUUUCACACUGCCGAGAAAAGCCUCUAGAUAGAAAAUAGGUGCCCGUACCGCAAACCGACACAGGUAGUCAAGAUGAGAAUUCUAAGGUGAGCGAGCGAACUCUCGUUAAGGAACUCGGCAAAAUGACCCCGUAACUUCGGGAGAAGGGGUGCUCUUUAGGGUUAACGCCCAGAAGAGCCGCAGUGAAUAGGCCCAAGCGACUGUUUAUCAAAAACACAGGUCUCUGCUAAACCGUAAGGUGAUGUAUAGGGGCUGACGCCUGCCCGGUGCUGGAAGGUUAAGAGGAGUGGUUAGCUUCUGCGAAGCUACGAAUCGAAGCCCCAGUAAACGGCGGCCGUAACUAUAACGGUCCUAAGGUAGCGAAAUUCCUUGUCGGGUAAGUUCCGACCCGCACGAAAGGCGUAACGAUUUGGGCACUGUCUCAACGAGAGACUCGGUGAAAUCAUAGUACCUGUGAAGAUGCAGGUUACCCGCGACAGGACGGAAAGACCCCGUGGAGCUUUACUGUAGCCUGAUAUUGAAAUUCGGCACAGCUUGUACAGGAUAGGUAGGAGCCUUUGAAACGUGAGCGCUAGCUUACGUGGAGGCGCUGGUGGGAUACUACCCUAGCUGUGUUGGCUUUCUAACCCGCACCACUUAUCGUGGUGGGAGACAGUGUCAGGCGGGCAGUUUGACUGGGGCGGUCGCCUCCUAAAAGGUAACGGAGGCGCUCAAAGGUUCCCUCAGAGUGGUUGGAAAUCAUUCAUAGAGUGUAAAGGCAUGAGGGAGCUUGACUGCGAGACCUACAAGUCGAGCAGGGUCGAAAGACGGACUUAGUGAUCCGGUGGUUCCGCAUGGAAGGGCCAUCGCUCAACGGAUAAAAGCUACCCCGGGGAUAACAGGCUUAUCUCCCCCAAGAGUUCACAUCGACGGGGAGGUUUGGCACCUCGAUGUCGGCUCAUCGCAUCCUGGGGCUGUAGUCGGUCCCAAGGGUUGGGCUGUUCGCCCAUUAAAGCGGUACGCGAGCUGGGUUCAGAACGUCGUGAGACAGUUCGGUCCCUAUCCGUCGUGGGCGUAGGAAAUUUGAGAGGAGCUGUCCUUAGUACGAGAGGACCGGGAUGGACAUACCUCUGGUGUACCAGUUGUCGUGCCAACGGCAUAGCUGGGUAGCUAUGUGUGGACGGGAUAAGUGCUGAAAGCAUCUAAGCAUGAAGCCCCCCUCAAGAUGAGAUUUCCCAACUUCGGUUAUAAGAUCCCUCAAAGAUGAUGAGGUUAAUAGGUUCGAGGUGGAAGCAUGGUGACAUGUGGAGCUGACGAAUACUAAUCGAUCGAAGACUUAAUCA